rnacentral:rRNA from 1 species
UACGUAGGGGGCUAGCGUUGUCCGGAAUCAUUGGGCGUAAAGCGCGUGUAGGCGGUCCGGUAAGUCCGCUGUGAAAGUCGAGGGCUCAACCCUCGAAUGCCGGUGGAUACUGUCGGGCUUGAGUACGGGAGAGGCGAGUGGAAUUCCUGGUGUAGCGGUGAAAUGCGUAGAUAUCAGGAGGAACACCGGUGGCGAAGGCGGCUACCUGGACAGAAACUGACGCUGAGGCGCGAAAGCUAGGGGAGCAAACAGG